UCCAUUAACAGCAUCAAUGAUCAGCAGAUGGAGAAUACAUGAAUUGUCAGGCCUUGCCUCCAGUAUAAGAGAUGUCUGAACGAGUAAAUGAGAGGUAUUGGAGAGAACUAGUUGUGUUGCGAUACAAGGUUGGAUCAGAAAAUGGUGCACCCGUAAAUGAUGAUAAUUUGACGGUGGAGGCCAUGGAUGAUGAGACUGAUUUGGCAGCAAGCAUGUUGGUUUUGUGAAGAAGGUCAGUAAUUUAACGGUGCUGAUAUAGAAUGAUGUCAUGAGAGGAGGGAGACGCCCCAAUGCCCAAUAAGAAACUUAACUACCAAGGUCCUUGGAAGCAAAUCCUGUAUGAAGCUGGUGGAUAAGAUUGUGAAUAUCCUCAUUAUGUAGGCCAGUGACUAGAAUAUCAUCCAUAUAGAUCCAGACAAAAGAGAAUUAUGUAAGCGAUUUUAAGAAUGAGAAGAAGGGAAUCAUUCUUUGAGCCGAUAAAGUUAAAGGGAGAGAAUUAGUCUGGGGCUUGAUCCAACAAACCAUGCACAUGGAGCUUGUUUGAUGCCUUGCGUAAGAGAAAAAUAUGAUCAGGAAAUGGAUGGUGAGAGAAACCAGGUGGUCGAUUCAUGUAAGUAGGAGAUUUUAGGAAGAGUAGUCGUAGAAAGAAAUGAGAAGGAAAACUACAGUUACACCAGAUGAACUAAAGACUUGGUGCUGGAGUUAGUGCUUAAUUGCGUAUUAAUACACAAGACUCUUUUAACAUUUUCACUUGUUUCCGGCACCCCUGGAGGCAAUGAGUUUCGUUUUGGCUUGCUCUUCAAGAGGAGAGGGUCAAGGACUUCAUGACCAUCUUCAUUGUGAGGACAUAAUCCAUUGUUAAACUCUGUUUACUGAACACCGACGGGAUUUACCGUCGGUAAAACUGUUAAAUUUGAUAGCAAUUUCUCGGC